rnacentral:rRNA from 1 species
GUCCACGCCGUAAACGAUGGGCACUAGGUGUGGGAGGUGUCGACUCCUCCCGUGCCGAAGCUAACGCAUUAAGUGCCCCGCCUGGGGAGUACGGCCGCAAGGCUAAAAACUCAAAGGAAUUGACGGGGGCCCGCACAAGCAGCGGAGCAUGUGGUUUAAUUGUAUGCAACGCCAAGAACCUUACCAAGGCUUGACAUGGUCGAGAAAGCCGGAGAAAAUUCGGUCCUCCUUCGGGACUCGAUCACAGGUGGUGCAUGGCUGUCGU